GGAAUAUUGGUCAAUGGGCGAGAGCCUGAACCAGCCAAGUAGCGUGCAGGACGACUGCCCUAUGGGUUGUAAACUGCUUUUAUGCGGGGAUAAAGUGACGUACGCGUACGUUUUUGCAGGUACCGCAUGAAUAAGGAUCGGCUAAUUCCGUGCCAGCAGCCGCGGUAAUACGUAGGUGGCAAGCGUUAUCCGGAUUUAUUGGGCGUAAAGCGAGCGCAGGCGGUUUCUUAAGUCUGAUGUGAAAGCCUUCGGCUUAACCGAAGAAGUGCAUCGGAAACUGGGAAACUUGAGUGCAGAAGAGGACAGUGGAACUCCAUGUGUAGCGGUGAAAUGCGUAGAUAUAUGGAAGAACACCAGUGGCGAAGGCGGCUGUCUGGUCUGUAACUGACGCUGAGGCUCGAAAGCAUGGGUAGCGAACA
rnacentral:rRNA from 1 species